rnacentral:lncRNA from 1 species
AAGAGAAGAAAGAAAGAGAAGAAAGAGAAGAGGAAAGGAAUAGAGAAGGAGAAGAGGAAGAAAAAGAUGGAGAAGAUGAAGCUCAUCCUCAUCUUCAUCUUCCUCAUGCAUGGAGUAACCUAGAGAGGUAAGUCUUUUGUCUCCUCUCAUAGUUGGAUUAGGGUUAGGGUUUGGUUUUUAAACCGUAAAACCUAGAGUUUUGAAGCUUCUAACAUGUUUAGAGCCAUGUAGAGAUCAAGAACACAUGAAAUCCAUGUUGUUCUUCAUGAGGCUCUAUUGGUGGAUUUCUAGGGUUUGUUCUAAACACCCUAGAAAUGAUUCGAAUGCUCCUAGUUGAGCUCCUAGAUGAUAAACAAGCUCUCUUUUGCUUGUUCUAAAGAUCAAAUCCGGGGUAUUGAGCAAAUGGCACAUUAGGGCAUCCCAAAGAGGGGUUUUGCUCAUGUGGGGUUUUGAUCUAUUUUGACCGCUUAGAAACCUAAUUGGGGACCUAACGAACGCGUUGAAACACUCGGUUCGACAAUCCGACGAGUGUACGCGAAGUUAUUGACGAAACAGUCGGUUUUGGUACAGAUAGCCGCAGCACGCGAAAUAAAAGCCUAAAAAUCGUGAGAUCGGAACCGGAGCAUCUUGGAGUCAAGGAAUAAACUCCGGAAAAGACGGAUCGCGGUUCGGAGGUCGUUCGCUAAGUCGCGCAAGAGUUCGGGCCCAAACGGGUGCCGAGUGCCGCGGGAGGCCGAUUGCAAGUGUCGACAAGCAAUCGGAACGCGAGUUAAGGUGGGUUGUGCUUACCGAAGCGACUAGGUCGCCCUUUAUGUCUUAGCAAUGUAAUCUCAUGUUGAUGCAUGUGCAUGUAGACAAGACUAAAUGGUGCAUUAAUAAAUAUGCAUAGAGUAAAUGCAAGUAAAGUAAAGAAUGCAUGAUGAGCAUGAUAAAUAAAUAAUGCAAGCAAGUAAUUGGAAUGCAUGAUGAUAAUAAUGCAUAGUGUAAAUGCAUGUUAAAUAAUGAUGCAUAGAGCCAUGCUAGUAAAUGUUAAGUAGAGAGCAUGAUUAAUAUAAGAUGCAAAUGCUAAAUGGAAAGCAUGCUAAGUAAUUAAUGCUAGUUGAUGUAAAGAAUGCAUGUACUAAUUAUGCAUAGAUGGAAAUGCUAAGUAGAGAGCAUAAUGAGCAUAGCAUGUAUAUAAUGCUAGUUAAAGUAGAGAAUGCAAAGUAGCAUCAUGAGAGCUAAGUAAGUGACAUGAUAACUCUAGUGUAAAUAGAGUUGAUUGGACAACUAGGUUGUCAGAUAGAUCGAGUGGCAUCUAACCUAGUGUUAAAGAACAUAGGUUGAUUAGUAAACCUAGAGUCGAACAAUCUAGGUGUGUGGCAUUUGACCUAGUGUUAGUAAACCUAGGUUGAACUAGUAAACCUAGAAGUGGACAUCUAGGCGAAGAUGACAAGAACCUAGCAAGUGUAUCUAGGUUAAGUGAUGUGGACAUAGAACCUAGAGUAUUGGAACCUAGGUUGAUGAGUAUAGUGGUAUAGCCACUAGGAUGAGCUAGGUCGACAGUAUAGGGUUGGCUAUGAACCCUCGACCUGUGGUAAGUGGAUUCCGGAAUCCCAGGACUUAUGAUGUCCCUGGUACAGGCUAGGGCGUUCGUGCGACGACUUCGCCGCCGAGCUUGGUACCGUGGGUAGAUUGGGGGCGAUCAUAUGGAGAUCACCGCCCGGGGCUUGAACCAUUGUCGUGGCGUUUGUGCGACGAUUUCGCCGCCGGAUGGUUAAGCCAUUUGAGGAUCAGACCGCCAGAGUAGACUGAAUCCAUGCUGGGUAAGUACGAUGCGGGUGCCUCCAGGUGACUGAGUCUGACAUGAUCGUUGUUGGGUGUGGUGCGACCCGUUCGCCGCCAGACGGUAUGUCAUGUCUCGAGCUCACGCUGGGUAUGUGCAACGCGAUCGCCACCGAUGGUCAAGUCUUGUGACUCGAGCCGUGUUCAGCGUGUGCGACGAUUUCGCCGCUAGGAGGCUGAGUCAGAGAGAGUGCGGUAGGCUGUUGAGCAGCCAGUGCGCGGACUAUCCGCAGAUGAUUGACUCGAAGCCGAGUCGGGUGGUUAGCUAUGAUAGGGUAGAGGAACCCUUAUGAGCCAGAGAUAGAGGCUUGAGCUAAGGUAAUAGAAACCUUAGAAGCUAGUGGUUGGUGUUGUGAUCCUAAGGUAAUAGAAACCUUAGAGUAAAGUUAUGAGCUAAAGUAGCCAAGUAAAAGUAGAAUUCAUAUGAUCUACUAGUUGUUGCAUGGUUUUCAUAUCGCAUAUCGUGAGGCAUGGCAUGUAUUUCAAUUGAAUAUAUAUAUCUGUUGUAUAUUGUUGAACUAACAUGUUGCAGUGCCUCCUCGGACCUAUCGGUCGAGCUUUUCCCUUGGGUGGCCGUACCCACUGGGAACCAUGGAGUUGGUUCUCACCCCACGUUGUUUUGGGAUUUUCAGGUCGUUCGUGUGCGGCGCGGCGGCGCGAGGCGAGGGCGUAGCUCAGUAGAUAGCGCCCCACCACAGAGACCGAGGUAGCAGUACCCUGAGACAGUCUAGCUUAGGGGUCUAGAAGACAAGAAAAGAAAGUGUAUCAAACUUGUAAACUCUGAUGUAAUAGUGAGAUUGUAAUUGGAAGUAAAAAUGUAAAACGUGGUUGUGAAAUGAAUGCUUGUAAUAGCAAGUAGAUUAUAUAUUUGAUACUUUCUUAUGCAAUCUGGAUUGAUAUCCGUCCCUAAUUG